AUUGAACGCUGGCGGCAGGCCUAACACAUGCAAGUCGAGCGGAGCGGCGGACGGGUUUGUUAUGCCUAGGAAUCUGCCUGGUAGUGGUGGAUAACGUCCGGAAACGGGCGCUAAUACCGCUUACUAUCAGUUCAUCCUAGUUCGGAUUAGCUAGUUGGUGGGGCAAAGGCCUACCAAGGCGACGAUCCGUAACUGGUCUGAGAGGAUGAUCAGUCACACUGGAACUGAGACACGGUCCAGACUCAUACGGGAGGCAGCAGUGGGGAAUAGUGGACAAGGGGCGAAAGCCUGAUCCAGCCAGGCCGCGUGUGUGAAGAAGGUCUUCGGAUUGUAAAGCACUUUAAGUUGGGAGGCGUUACCAACAGAAAAAGCACCGGCUAACUUCGUGCCAGCAGCCGCGGUAAUAC
rnacentral:rRNA from 1 species